rnacentral:lncRNA from 1 species
AUGCGGGAGCCCAGGACGCUGCAGCUGGAGUGGGGGCAGCCCCGGAUCCCAACACAGCCAGGGAACAGGAGGCAGCUGGGGCUUGGGAGUGCCUCAGUGCCCCUCAGCAGGGCCAGCCCUCCUCCCAGCGCUGCUUGGAGCCGUCCCUCCGUCUGUCCGCAGCACCGCAACAUCGGCCGGAUGAGCGCGGCGCCCGUUGCCAUAGCAACGCAGGUGUACCGCCUGGUGACUAACCGAGAGCUGAUCCCAUCACAGAAUGGCAGCCCGGAGUUGCCACGGCAACCGAGAUGCCGAAUUGGGAACCGUGUCAAUGGCACAGUGGAUCUCCUCUGGGACAUGGCUGCUGCCUUGUGCCAAAAUCCCUUGCCUGUCAGUGCACGGCUCUCACAUAAACUGAGUAGGCUCAGGUAUCCCUUCUGCAGACAAGGUUAAUGGGAUGUGAGAGACCACAGCUGCCACAGCAUCAAGUGAGGAGGACAGGCAAGAGACAGCAGCAUUAAUCAGCAAGGAGCCAUGCAAAAAUGGUUAUCUCAAGCUGUUUGGAGGCACGGAGUAAAAAUAAAUCUCCCUGAGUUUAAUAUUCUGCCA